rnacentral:rRNA from 1 species
CGCGUAGGCGGGCCAUCAAGUCCGGGGUGAAAUCCUUCGGCUUAACCGGAGAAUUGCCUUGGAUACUGGUGGUCUUGAGGGAAGUAGGGGUCUGCGGAACUUCCGGUGGAGCGGUGAAAUGUGUUGAUAUCGGAAGGAACGCCGGUGGCGAAAGCGGCGGACUGGGCUUCUUCUGACGCUGAGGCGCGAAAGCUAGGGGAGCAAACG